CAGUAACGGCGAGUAAGCGGAAGAGCUCAAGCUUAAAAUCUCCUUGCAGUCUCUGCUCGGCGAAUUGUAGUCUAUAGAGGCGACGUCAGCGCGCAGGAUCCGGCCAAGUUCCUUGGAAGAGGACAGCAUGGAGGGUUACACUCCCGUCUCUGCCGGCAAAUGCGCGCGUACGACUCGUCUUCUUUGAGUCGCGUUGUUUGGGAAUGCAGCGCAAAGCAGGUGGUAAAUUCCAUCUAAAGCUAAAUACCGGUGCGAGACCGAUAGCGAACAAGUACCGUGAGGGAAAGAUGAAAAGAACUUUGAAAAGAGAGUUAAAGAGUACCUGAAACUGCUGAAAGGGAAGCGAAUCGCGUCCGCUGUCCAUUCCGUGGUCAACCGCUUCGGCGAUUGCCACGGAGGAGUCAAAGUCAGUUUGAUGUCGAAGGUAAAGUCGACAGUGCGCGUAGCAUGGCUGACUUUCGGGUCUGGGCCCUACGAGAAACGUUGUGCGUAGCCUCGACGAGGACUGAGGCGAUAACAGCAACCGUGUGUGCUCCGUAAGUUUGUGCGGAGAUCGGGUAGGCAGGUCCUACCUCCUGGCGAGAUGCACCACUAUCAAUGAGACGCAUGUACGCGAGCGGAUGCGCACACACGCUGU
rnacentral:rRNA from 1 species